AGGACGAACGCUGGCGGCAUGCCUAACACAUGCAAGUCGAACGAGCUCUUCGGAGCUAGUGGCGCACGGGUGCGUAACGCGUGGGAAUCUGCCCUUGGGUUCGGGAUAACAGUUGGAAACGACUGCUAAUACCGGAUGAUGACUUCGGUCCAAAGAUUUAUCGCCCAGGGAUGAGCCCGCGUCGGAUUAGCUAGUUGGUGGGUAAAAGCCUACCAAGGCAACGAUCCGUAGCUGGUCUGAGAGGAUGAUCAGUCACACUGGGACUGAGACACGGCCCAGACUCCUACGGGAGCAGCAGUGGGGAAUAUGGACAAUGGGCGAAAGCCUGAUCCAGCAAUGCCGCGUGAGUGAGUGAAGGUCCUUAGGGUUGUAAAGCUACGUUUUACCCGGGAUGAAUAAUGACAGGUACCGGAAGAACGUAACGCCCCCGGACUAACCGUCCGCGACCGAGACCGAGCCGAC
rnacentral:rRNA from 1 species